UCUGACGACCAUAGCUUCUCGGUACCACCCCUUCCCAUCCCGAACAGGACCGUGAAACGAGAACGCGCCGAUGAUAGUGAGGCUCCCCUCGCGAAAGUAGGUCAUCGUCAGAC
rnacentral:rRNA from 1 species